rnacentral:rRNA from 1 species
AAAUGCACAGGUUGUGAACUCGAAGAGUAGGGCGGGACACGUGGUAUCCUGUCUGAAUAUGGGGGGACCAUCCUCCAAGGCUAAAUACUCCUGACUGACCGAUAGUGAACCAGUACCGUGAGGGAAAGGCGAAAAGAACCCCGGCGAGGGGAGUGAAAAAGAACCUGAAACCGUGUACGUACAAGCAGUGGGAGCCUACUUGUUAGGUGACUGCGUACCUUUUGUAUAAUGGGUCAGCGACUUAU